rnacentral:rRNA from 1 species
UGGGGAAUUUUGGACAAUGGGCGAAAGCCUGAUCCAGCAAUGCCGCGUGUGUGAAGAAGGCCUUCGGGUUGUAAAGCACUUUUGUCCGGAAAGAAGUCCUUGGCUCUAAUACAGUCGGGGGAUGACGGUACCGGAAGAAUAAGCACCGGCUAACUACGUGCCAGCAGCCGCGGUAAUACGUAGGGUGCAAGCGUUAAUCGGAAUUACUGGGCGUAAAGCGUGCGCAGGCGGUUUGCUAAGACCGAUGUGAAAUCCCCGGGCUCAACCUGGGAACUGCAUUGGUGACUGGCAGGCUAGAGUAUGGCAGAGGGGGGUAGAAUUCCACGUGUAGCAGUGAAAUGCGUAGAGAUGUGGAGGAAUACCGAUGGCGAAGGCAGCCCCCUGGGCCAAUACUGACGCUCAUGCACGAAAGCGUGGGGAGCAAACAGGAUUAGAUACCCUGGUAGUCCACGCCCUAAACGAUGUCAACUAGUUGUUGGGGAUUCAUUUCCUUAGUAACGUAGCUAACGCGUGAAGUUGACCGCCUGGGGAGUACGGUCGCAAGAUUAAAACUCAAAGGAAUUGACGGGGUCAUAGCUGUUUCCU